UACGUAGGGUGCGAGCGUUGUUCGGAAUCACUGGGCGUAAAGGGCGCGUAGGCGGGUGUGAAAGUCGAUUGUGAAAGCCCCGGGCUUAACCUGGGAACUGCAGUCGAUACUACAUAUCUUGAGUGCUUGAGAGGAUGGUGGAAUUCCUGGUGUAGAAGUGAAAUUCGUAGAUAUCAGGAGGAACACCGGAGGCGAAGGCGGCCAUCUGGCAAGACACUGACGCUGAGGCGCGAAAGUGCGGGGAG
rnacentral:rRNA from 1 species